rnacentral:rRNA from 1 species
CACGUAGGGCGCAAGCGUUGUCCGGAAUUAUUGGGCGUAAAGAGCUCGUAGGCGGUCUGUUGCGUCCGCUGUGAAAACUCGGGGCUUAACCCCGAGCCUGCAGUGGAUACGGGCAGACUAGAGGUAGGUAGGGGAGAAUGGAAUUCCCGGUGUAGCGGUGAAAUGCGCAGAUAUCGGGAGGAACACCGGUGGCGAAGGCGGCUCACUGGCUCGUUUCUGACGCUCAGGCGCGACAGCGUGGGGAUCAAACAGG